UCCAGACUCCUACGGGAGGCAGCAGUGAGGAAUAUUGGUCAAUGGGCUUACGCCUGGACCAGCCAAGUCGCGUGAGGGAAGACUGCCCUAUGGGUUGUAAACCUCUUUUGUCAGGGAGCAAUUGGCGCUACGUGUAGCGUUAUCGAGAGUACCUGAAGAAAAAGCAUCGGCUAACUCCGUGCCAGCAGCCGCGGUAAUACGGAGGAUGCGAGCGUUAUCCGGAUUUAUUGGGUUUAAAGGGUGCGUAGGCGGACGCUUAAGUCAGCGGUCAAAUCGUGGGGCUCAACCCCAUCCAGCCGUUGAAACUGGGGAUCUAGAGUGUGCGAGAGGUAUGCGGAAUGCGUGGUGUAGCGGUGAAAUGCAUAGAUAUCACGCAGAACCCCGAUUGCGAAGGCAGCAUACCGGUGCACAACUGACGCUCAGGCACGAAAGCGUGGGUAUCGAACAGGAUUAGAUACCCUAGUAA
rnacentral:rRNA from 1 species